GGGGGACUUUUCUUCUAGAUCACGAAAAGCACAAAACAGACCUUUCAACAAAAAACCAUAGACGUUUCCCCUUGAUCUUCACCAAAAAAAGUUGUUGCUCCUUCACCAAAAAAAAAAAGCUACACACUCUAAACAAAAAGAAAAGAAAGAAGCAACAGCUGCGAAAAUGGCAUUUGAGCUCAAAGUUGGACAAAAAUGGCAGAUUCAUUUUGUUGAUCGAAGUCGGCCGAAUUCCCCCAUUUUGAACCUAACGCCUCUACCCUAUCUCCAUAUUUGGACCGUCAUCUUUCCAUGAUUCUUCUUCUCCUAGCUUUUCCCAUUAUUAUCUUCAGGCCAUGGACCUAAAUCCUUAAAUUCCAACAGCCAUUUUUCCACAACACCUCACCCCUCUUCAAAAAUAGUCCACUUUUUCACAUAACGCAGCAGCAAUUUCGAGCUUGAGUUUCGUCGAAGUCGUCGAUGUAAUUUUGCGGUCGAUAGGUGGUCCGUUCGUUGGUUCCGUUCUUAGUCAAAUUAAUAUUGAAGGCGACAGUUUUCUCAUUUGAGAAUUGCGAGCAGAAGCAUAUUCCAUUGGAAUAGAACAAGAAUUGUCUUAAUAGGACUGGUGGAAGUGUGUACUACACAGACUAGAGUGUACUACACAAUUGAAUGUGGCACCACAUAAUUUAUGAAAUUGCAUAACUCAUAAUGUCGACACGUUGAAAUCAUUGAAAGAGCCAACAUUUUACAUCCCACAAAAGCAAAAUCUAGAGAACUCCAUCUUCGCUAACUUUCAGUAAACAAAAUCAGAAGUCAGAAGUGAUGAUGAUGGCCGCUACCACUGCUUCUGCUAAUUCACUGAGCUCUGCUUUUCUUCCCCGCCUAGG